rnacentral:rRNA from 1 species
GAUGAACGCUAGCGGGAGGCCUAACACAUGCCAGCCGAGCGGUAUUGUUUCUUCGGACAUGAGAGAGCGGCGUACGGGUGCGUAACACGUGUGCAACCUGCCUUUAUCUGGGGGAUAGCCUUUCGAAAGGAAGAUUAAUACUCCAUAAUAUAUUGAACGGCAUCGUUUAAUAUUGAAAGCUCCGGCGGAUAGAGAUGGGCACGCGCAAGAUUAGCUAGUUGGUGAGGUAACGGCUCACCAAGGCGAUGAUCUUUAGGGGGCCUGAGAGGGUGAUCCCCCACACUGGUACUGAGACACGGACCAGACUCCUACGGGAGGCAGCAGUGAGGAAUAUUGGUCAAUGGGUGCAAGCCUGAACCAGCCAUCCCGCGUGAAGGACGACUGCCCUAUGGGUUGUAAACUUCUUUUGUAUAGGGAUAAACCUACCCUCGAGAGGGUAGCUGAAGGUACUAUACGAAUAAGCACCGGCUAACUCCGUG